ACAGCCCUUCACUCUGGGACAAGCCCUGGAAACGGGGUCUAAUACCGGAUAACACUCUGUCCCGCAUGGGACGGGGUUAAAAGCUCCGGCGGUGAAGGAUGAGCCCGCGGCCUAUCAGCUUGUUGGUGGGGUAAUGGCCUACCAAGGCGACGACGGGUAGCCGGCCUGAGAGGGCGACCGGCCACACUGGGACUGAGACACGGCCCAGACUCCUACGGGAGGCAGCAGUGGGGAAUAUUGCACAAUGGGCGAAAGCCUGAUGCAGCGACGCCGCGUGAGGGAUGACGGCCUUCGGGUUGUAAACCUCUUUCAGCAGGGAAGAAGCGAAAGUGACGGUACCUGCAGAAGAAGCGCCGGCUAACUACGUGCCAGCAGCCGCGGUAAUACGUAGGGCGCAAGCGUUGUCCGGAAUUAUUGGGCGUAAAGAGCUCGUAGGCGGCUUGUCACGUCGGAUGUGAAAGCCCGGGGCUUAACCCCGGGUCUGCAUUCGAUACGGGCUAGCUAGAGUGUGGUAGGGGGAGAUCGGAAUUCCUGGUGUAGCGGUGAAAUGCGCAGAUAUCAGGAGAACACCGGUGGCGAAUGCGGAUCUCUGGGCCAUUA
rnacentral:rRNA from 1 species